AAAAACAUUUUUAUUAGUACUAAUUAAUAAUAAAAUCUGCUCAAUGAAAAAUUAAAUAGCCGCUUCUGUGCUAAGGUAGCAUAAUAAUUUGUCUUUUAAUUAAAGACUAGAAUAAAAGAUUUAACAUCUCAAUUAAUUUCUAUUAAAAAUUAUUAAAAUUAUUUUAAUUGUAAAAAAACAAUUUUAAAAAAGAAAGACGAUAAGACCCUAUCGAACUUCACUUUAGUUUAACUGGGGCAGUUAAUUAAUUAAUAUUUUAAAAACAUUAAAUAUUUAAAUUGACCUAAUAUUAUUAACCAAAUAAUUAAGUUACCGUAGGGAUAACAGCGUAAUAAAAUUUACAAGAUGUUAUUCAAAAUUAAGAUUGCGACCUCGAUGUUGAUUUAAUAUCCUAUUCCACGCAGUAGUAGAUUAAGGAAGUCUGUUCGACUUUUAAAAAAUUACAUGAUUUGAGUUCAGACCGGUGUAAACCAGGUCGGUUUCUAUCUUCUAAUAAAAUUUCUUCUAGUACGAAAGGACCUAAGAAUAUAAUAACAUU
rnacentral:rRNA from 1 species